rnacentral:rRNA from 1 species
AUUGAACGCUGGCGGCAGGCCUAACACAUGCAAGUCGAGCGGCAGCGGGAAAGUAGCUUGCUACUUUUGCCGGCGAGCGGCGGACGGGUGAGUAGUGCCUGGGGAUCUGCCCAGUCGAGGGGGAUAACUACUGGAAACGGUAGCUAAUACCGCAUACGCCCUACGGGGGAAAGCAGGGGACCUUCGGGCCUUGCGCGAUUGGAUGAACCCAGGUGGGAUUAGCUAGUUGGUGAGGUAAUGGCUCACCAAGGCGACGAUCCCUAGCUGGUCUGAGAGGAUGAUCAGCCACACUGGAACUGAGACACGGUCCAGACUCCUACGGGAGGCAGCAGUGGGGAAUAUUGCACAAUGGGGGAAACCCUGAUGCAGCCAUGCCGCGUGUGUGGAGAAGGCCUUCGGGUUGUAAAGCACUUUCAGCGAGGAGGAAAGGUUGGUAGCUAAUAACUGCCAGCUGUGACGUUACUCGCAGAAGAAGCACCGGCUAACUCCGUGCCAGCCGCCGCCGUAAUAC